GUGUGGAAUCUUGCGCAAUGGGCGAAAGCCUGACGCAGCAACGCCGCGUGCGGGAUGACGGCCUUCAAGGUUGUAAACCGCUUUCAGCAGGGACGAAAAUGACGGUACCUGCAGAAGAAGCCCCGGCUAACUACGUGCCAGCAGCCGCGGUAAUACGUAGGGGGCAAGCGUUGUCCGGAUUCAUUGGGCGUAAAGAGCUCGUAGGCGGUUCAGUAAGUCGGGUGUGAAAGCUCCGAGCUCAACUCGGAGAGGCCACCCGAUACUGCUGUGACUUGAGUACAGUAGGGGAGCGUGGAAUUCCUGGUGUAGCGGUGAAAUGCGCAGAUAUCAGGAGGAACACCAGCGGCGAAGGCGGCGCUCUGGGCUGUAACUGACGCUGAGGAGCGAAAGUGUGGGUAGCAAACAGGAUUAGAUACCCCUGUAGUCC
rnacentral:rRNA from 1 species